rnacentral:lncRNA from 1 species
ACCAUCCCAGUUACAGCAGAAUAAAAGCAAAUGGCAAAUACUAAGAUAGGAGGUCUGAGAAUCACAGGGAUCUAGACAAACAUAUUCACCCAUCGAGGUCCCCAUCUGACCCAAGACAUGCCGGUGGUUAAUAUAGAAGGCUCGAAACCUGCAGCUUGUUUCUCCCAUUCACUGGUGCUGCCCUGCUCAAGAUUUCACGAAGAAGCAGCAUCAAAAGGAACAUUCCAGAGAAGAGGAUUGCUUCCUGACAAGCAUUCUGCUCUUCAUAGAACUGUCCCAGACUCCCAGUCUAGCUGCAAAUUUCUCUCUAUACCCUUGGCAGUCCAAGAGCAUGUUUGGUGUUGCUUCUGCUCUUAUAAAGAUACUUACAGAGGAAGCAAUAUUUUCUAGUCCUGUAUUUUUUUUUUCCCUUGUAGGAGCAUAUGUUGGAUAUGGUUAACCAAAGUAUUAUUUUUUUAGGAACUAUAUAUGUUUUUGUGCUUCAAAAGUUAUAAAAUUUUAAGCAACACCAAACAUUGUCCUUAAUGGAACCUAGAAAACCUCUGUGAGUUCACAGUUGCCCGCCGCCCCAUUGCCAUUUUUAAAGGUAUCAAAAUUAGGAAGUUUAUGGAGGCAUGAGCCACAAGAAGAUCGGUAAUAUUUGCUGGCUCAUUUAGAGUCUUGGUCCCAUAGUCCAAAAACCUACAAAAGCACCACCAAGGUGGUAGCCCAGUUGGAACGGAGUGUUUGCUUCCAACCAAGUGGUUCCAGGUUCGAAACGCGCGGGCGUCGAUUAAAUUCGGGGACCGGAUGCCCCAUGCCUGGACACGGGGUCUGGAAGCGCUACUGGUCGGCUGGUAGCCUGGGUGGUGCCAGGUGUGACGUACUCACACGGAGGGUCGGGUCGGAUAACUGAGCCGGCCCAC